CUGGCUGCCCCGUCGGGAGGCAAUGGCGGCAUCCAGGAAGAAGGCGGCCUUCUCCGCCGUAGGUGCCCGCAGCUCACUCUGGUUCUGCAGCUGGAAGACACAAGCCAACAGCUGAAGCCUCAGGCUGAGACGGGGCUCGCACACAGCUCUCCAUGCUGCAGAAAAGCUAUGUGCCUCUUGGAGGCCAACAAAGAUCCUUCUGGAACAAGGGCCCAGACUCACGUGCAAUUGUCCACUUAACCCAUUCCUGAAAGAUGCUGGGACUGGCACAGAACAUCCACGUGACUAGGAAUACAGACAGAAGGAACGAGGAAAGCUCUCACUGACCCAGCUUAGCGUGGCCGAAACAGAACACGCAGCCGUCCGCCCCGUUGACCACAGACUGGAUCACCUCCGCCACAGUUCCGGCACACACUUCAGCCUGGCAGACACAAGAGGAGACAUGUGCAAUUCAACGUACAGUAUCAAAGGCCAUUUGCAAGGAUGUUACAACGGGUGUUCUCCAGGCGGCUGCAUGGCUCAGCUCCCUCAUGACCAUCUGAAUCCUUAGACAGGGGCCAGGCUGCUGCUGACUUUCUGUAUUUCCCCAUAAACACCCAAUAAUAAAGCACCCACAAACAAUAAGGAUUCAGUAAAUUUUGUGGCCUCGCUGGCAUAAAAGAGAGAUCUGAGAACUCUCUCUGGGUAGCAUAUGAGGCUUUCAGAGCAGCAGGAGGACAAAAUCCUGCACUGUGUUCCACCUUUGCCAGAGUCAGACCUCCAGGAAUCACUCAGAAGCAAGAAACACCUGGGCUCUGAAGCCCAUAGGGCCCCGGCCUCCCUGGGAAUCUGAGAGCCAUGGCCUGGCCUGGAAUGUAGCUCCAGGCUAUCAGAGUGCAACAGACCUGGGUAUUUGGAAAUUGAUUUUCUCUCCCAAACCAAAAUUGAAAAACCACAGUUCCACCCGUUGUUGAUCCUUCUGGUGGUCACCUCAGCAACUCUACGGGGGCUCCUCCUGGGCUGAGAGGGUGGCAGGAUGAGGCCGCUGCAGGGACCACAGGAUCUGUCACACCCCCCAGGACCCAGGAGCUCCGCAGUGAGAAGCCAGCCCGAAGCCCUGCAGUGGAGGCUGAGAAUCUUGACAGAAUUGGCCACAGGUGACUCUGCAGAGCUCAGCCUUCUUUGGACAUAAAGUGCGGUGGGGCUUAGGGGGCUGAGAGCCCGGCCUGAAAUAGACUGUACUAGAUUCCAGAGCAGCAGGGAGAAAGCUGGUUGUGUGUGUACCAAACUACCAUCAUUGAAUUAUUUGUGCCAAGGCCCAAGGACAGAGAACAGGAGCAGACUCCCAGGCCUCUCUUAGCAGAAUUCCUGCCCACCAUCCACCAAGAAGACAGUGCGCAGUGACCAGUCUGUCUCGUAUUGUUAGGGGUUGCCAGUGGCCCCUGGAGGCCUCCUGCUGUCUUAUGCCUUGGGCCUUGAUAAGCAGGCCGCUGCCCCAGCAAGACUCCCAAGGCACAGCCAAGUGCACAGGAAGCCUCUACUCACCUACAGCUGAGUCCUCUCCUCCCAAUCCCUAUAUUGAAACCCAACAACCAGUGUGAUGGUAUUUGGUGAUGCAACCUCUGGGGAGGUGACUAGGUCAUGAGGGUGGGGCCCUCCUGAGUGGGGUUAGCACCCUUAGGAGAGAGGCCCCAGAGAGCUGCCCUGCCCCUUGUGCCCCCUGAAGACACAUCAGGAUGACAGCUGUCAAUCAGAAAGCGGCUUUUGCCUGACCCCCAUCUGCCAGUGCUUUGAUCUUGCACUUCCCAGCCUCUGAAACUGUAUCUCCCGUGUGUGUCACCUCAGUGAAUCCCAGCAGCUCAAUGAGGCACAUUUUGGUUCUGUCUUCAGUUGACAGACGAGGACACAGGGGCCCAGAGAGGUGGAAUAAUGGGCCCAGGAGGCAAAGCUUGUGACCAGUGGAUAGACAGCGGGAGCGCAAAGACACAGUACCACACCGAGCAGAACUGAGGGCUUAAGGAGAAGAAUCCAGGAGAGAUGUCCACUCAGGAGAGGGCCUGUGAAUGAGACACUAAUCUCUGAGCCUCCGUCUCCUUGUGUGUGAUGUGAACACAACAGUGCUUCCCUCUUUGACACCAUUAGAAUUCAAGAUAUGUCUUGUUGAAAUCCUGACACAGCGAUCCUGCCCAAAGUCAGACACCAAUAAUUCAAAAGGACUGACCACUCAAGGGGGCUCUGAUGGAUUUCCAAAAGUUGUACCAGUGGAGGAACUGACAUAACAGAGCACUCUGGAAGACACCCACCUAUCUCACAGGUCCUAGAGACAGUAAAAGUUUCUCGAAACUGGUCAAUGUUGCCUGAGCCCAACCGGGCAGUGACACCUACCUGAGAAGCAUCUUGUGGAAAAACAGCAUCAAAGGCAAACAUUUUAGGAGGAACUUGGUUGCCCCUCUUUUGGAAGACGUUUUGACCUCCACACGUCAAGGGAUCAUAGAGGGUGAUCUGUUUCUUCCGUGGGUCCACCUUUAAGAAGGAGCUGGAUUCUGAGGUAUCACGAGCCAAUGUAGAACAGAUGCGAAGCAUGACUUUCACCUGCCAAGAAACAAAGGCAGGAAAGGACACAGAAUGAGAAAGCUGGAUACAUCUCGAAGGAGCAGCCUUCCAGACUCUGGAGACAUAGCAUGCACAGCAGCAGGGUGCCUUCUCCUGGUAAAUUAUGAUGAACUGAAGCAGCACCAUAAUCCUCAAAGGGUCAAGGGAAAACUGACUUAUUUGUAGCUAUCAGGCGGAGUAUUUUGAUACGUCCAUUGCUUUAUUAUGGAAACGGCACACCAUGUCCUUUGUCUGCUUAUUAAUAUAAAUUGAAAACUGUACGCUGGUGGCCCAGUUACAUAGAUGAAAAAGGAGUCUGGAUGGCUGAGGUUUCAGGGCUGGUGCAGUUCCCUUCAAGAGAACUACUCACAGAUCAAUAACCCAUGGACAUAAAAGUUAGCUCCGUAAUUUACUCCUGGCCUCUGCUCAUCAGGACUCUUGGAGACAAAACCCCCACAGUCAUCAGUGUCAUCAUUAAAGGCUUAUGAAAUGGACUGUUUUUAAUGGCCAGCAUUUGAAAUGGGUUCCAAGGAGCAAUGGUGAUAAAAGAUUUGUUUGAAACAUAUUAUUUGGGAUCUCAUUAAGUGAGUGCAUAGAAGUUGUCAUCUCAGAGAACGAAAGCGCUGUCUCGGUGGGAAAGGGGGCAGCAUUAUUAACCUGCCUCCCGAGUCAGGGACCAUGGACCACAGGAAUAAACUGCCUGUCCCAGAGCCUUAAAGUGAGCAGAAGUUGAGCUGAAGACACACACACACACACACACACACACACACACACACACACACACGGCUCUGCAGGCACAGGUCCUGGGGAACAGACAGCAUUUGCUCCCUUGCCAGCCUUUGUCCCUGUGUUGCCAGCUCAGUGCAAAUGUGUUGAGCCCCUGCUCAGUGCCAGGCCUCAGGCUAGGCAGGCACUGGGGAUGCAAAGGCUGGUGAUGCAUAGAGCGGCAGACGGACAGACAGGCAGAGAUGAUUUUUGUAAUACCACGUGGCGAAUCCUGCAGGGUUCUUUUUAAGCUCCUCUGUCUGUCUCACCUUCCUCAUCGGAUCAACUGUCAGGGCUGAUGAAAUGUCAGCCAGGCCUUUGGGGGAGAGGGGUUGGAAAUAUUUUGAAAGUGCAUAAAUGCUCAGAGAAGAAUCUGGACUGUGCAGAAUGGAGUAAGGGCCCUCUCCUGUUUGUCCUCUGUCUGCGGAGGCAGGGGUCUGACUCGCAGUGUGCAAACCUGAAGGGCACUGGCCUCAUCACUUGCCCUGUGCCAUGCCCUGGCCGUGCUGGCUCUUGCCACCUCACCACAGCACUCGGGGGUAGAGCUGGGGGCACCGUGUCAUGGUGGAAGGAGCCCAUGGCUGGAGUGAAGUCAGCCUCUGGGAAUUUAAAUCCUGGCUCUCCCAUCAGUAGGUCAUGUAACAAUGACCUGCAUUUCCUGGAGGUCUACUAUGUGCUAGGGUUGUGCUGUCAGCUACAGGGCAUUAUGUCAUCCUCCCAACCAGCCAGCGCAUAGGCAUACCUGUCCAGAUUUCACACAUGAGAGAAGAGGUGUUCUAGAACUUGCCCCAGUCCCUGAAAAGGGAGGUGGUGAGACCAGGCUCUGAUCCCACCUCUGUGUGAUGCCAAAGCCUAUACUUUUUCCAUCAUGGCAAGUGCUGCUCCCACACGUGGUCCAGCCACUCCAAGCCUCAGUGUUUUCACCUGUACAAUGGGGACAAUGAAAUCUAUCUCAUGGGACUGUGGGGAGAAUGAAAUGAAUCAAUGUGAAGUACUGAACCUGGGGUGGGUGCUUGAUUGCUUUUUCUCCUCUUCCUCCUCCUCCUCUCUCCCCCAUACUCCCCUCCCUCUGAAUGGUGACACCCUAGCAUUCUCUCAUUACAGUGUUAAUGAUAAGGUUUUAGAACUCCUUGCCCUGGAUGCUGAGCACUGUAUAUCACAAACAGGACGCCACGGCGACUAUUGCAGACCCAGCUAGGUAUUAGGCUCCGGUCUCACAGGAUCCAAUCGCUAAAACAGUCA